rnacentral:rRNA from 1 species
UACAGAGGAGCCAAGCGUUGUCCGGAUUUACUGGGCGUAAAGAGCGCGCAGGCGGUGCGAUCAGUCGAAUGUGAAAGCCCCCGGCUCAACUGGGGAGGGUCAUUCGAUACUGUCGGACUCGAAGGCAGGAGAGGGAAGCGGAAUUCCCGGUGUAGUGGUGAAAUGCGUAGAUAUCGGGAGGAACACCAGUGGCGAAGGCGGCUUCCUGGCCUGUUCUUGACGCUGAGGCGCGAAAGCUAGGGGAGCAAACGGG